UACGGAGGGGGCUAGCGUUGUCCGAAGUUACUGGGCGUAAAGCGCGCGUAGGCGGGUUGGUAAGUCCGCUGUGAAAGCCCGGAGCUCAACUCCGGAGGGUCGGUGGAUACUGCCAGUCUUGAAGGUGCUAGGGGGAGAUGGAAUUACCGGUGUAGCGGUGAAAUGCGUAGAUAUCGGUAGGAACACCAGUGGCGAAGGCGGUCGUCCUGGGGCAUUCUUGACGCUGAGGCGCGAAAGCUGGGGGAGCAAACGGG
rnacentral:rRNA from 1 species